CUCUGCUCUCCUCCUUUGGAUUAAUUCUGAUAUAAUAACUGUUGAUUUAUUUAUCGGUGGAGCAGCAGAACAUUUUCCACAGACAGUUUUCCUGCCCGUUGGCUUGUUUUAACCAGUUUUCUACCUUCGGCUGAUUCUACCAGCAGACACUGAAAGGACUCUGAUAGUUCGAGUGAAAGUAGCAAUUCCUCCUUAAGGUCAGAGAUUGCAGCAUCUGAGGGCCUCUUCAAAAGAAGACGUAGUUGAUGAAGGCAUUCUGGAGCAGGACCAGAAAGACCACGACCAAGCAGCCUUGAGAUCUUAGGCAGCGUCUCCCUCAGGUCCCUCUCUAUCUCCCCACACAUCCACCAACCACUGGAACACAUCUCCAAAGUUCUGCCGGGCCAGCUCAGCUUCCCCUCAGAAGAAGUUCCACCAGAUGAAGGAGCCUUUUGAGAGGCAGCUGGCAUCGUGAUUGGACUGUACUUUGGUCUGUUCCAAUCCAGCUUCAGCUCCAGAGACGGCAGGUGGGACGAGUCAACGGAGGCCUGGUGGACGAAGGCAUGCAGCUGAGUACAAUCCAGAAAACAACAGAGGAGGAGUGCAGUGGCCCAGGGCCAGAACAAGCAGAGUAGCAUCAUAUGUCUCUUAGAAAACAUCAUAGUAUAGCCUUUGGUAUGAAAAAACGCCAUCAUAUACAUCGUAUAUUGUACAAAUAACAAGUCAAAGGAAAGAGACAUACAUUGUAGAAUUGUAGUAAUUGUGGGCUGAGUGAUUUACUGAUUAUCAGUAUUUUAUUUUUUACUGAUUUACGGUAAUAAAUACAUUUAAAAAUGG